UGAGCGGACGCGAGUUUACAAUAUUC
rnacentral:piRNA from 1 species